CCCGCACGGGCUUGGAGGGGUCCUCCGCCCCCUUGCCCACCAGCAGGACACGCGAGGCCCCGGGGCGGGCGCUGGACUCCCUCCGGCAUCGCCCGAGGGCCUCUCCGGCCGGGCACCCUAUGCCCCGCCGCGCGCGUUCCCACAGACUUCUGUCCGCUUCCCGGCUUCUCCCGGUUUAUUCCCGGCGGCCGCUGCCGCCUCGGGACACCCAUUUACGCAGCAACACGCAAACCCAUUCUGGCGACUCCGGGGGACCUGAGGAACCGGCGCGGAGAGGUGUAGGACUGAAGACCUUGGCUUUUACUGGCUGUCCACUGGAGACUGCCCUCAAUUCCUAGGUGGCACCUGGCAUUCAUGGGCCAGCAUGGCCACUUACUUCAUCAAGUCAGCAAGGAGAGUCUCCAGAGCAAACCUGCUAGCAAGAUGGAAUCACAUAUAACACAAGAGGAGAAAACUGAAGAUCAGAGAGGUUAGGUGAUUUGCCCAAGGUUUCACAGCUGAAUACCUCCAGGCAGCCAGGAGAAAGUACGGUCUUAUCCACGGUGAAGGGGGAAGACAUUCAGAUCCCAAGAGAGAUGAUUUGUAUACCUUUCGAGGCCAAGAUGAGUGUGCACCUGUGUGGUCAAAUGUAAUCCACAAUGGGGCUCUCACCAGGUUUCAGCCACAGGCAUGAAGGCAACGUUGCUGAAACUACAAGAUAUCUGCAUGGGUCACACCUGCUGCUGCCUCUGGGCCUGCGGUUCCUCACAGGAUUUCGAAGAAGCAUGUCCAUACUGCUUCCAGAUGCAGGUGCUGGAUAAAGCUGGAAUGUAUCUCCAGCCCAAGGCUAAACUGACACCCCAAAAUAUAGACACUUAUUAAUUGAGAAGCAAAAUAAAUAUGCACUCAGGUUUAAAGAAGCAAAAAUUAUGAAGAAGUAGAAAGGCUCCAAAACUAUUUUGUUGAUUACUUGUAAAAUAUGCAUCAGAACACUAACUGGUAAAAUAACGGGAAAAAGAGAAGCAUCCUAUGGACGAUGAGAAACAAUUCUACCACUCCUCAGAUUUAACCCUUGCAGGAAGACACAGAGACUAAAGUUCUGAGUUCUGCAAGUCUGGUUCCAAUGGCAAGAGCCCAGCCUGGUUUUGGAAACACCUACAUCUGGACAGUCAAUACCCAUUUGCUCCUCAAAGGACGUGAGCAAAACAAAGAAACACUUCUCUUAACUAAAAAUGCAGCUUAGUCAGAAAGAAUUCCAAAAGAAUCCAAAGUGGAUUUCAGAAAUUUCUUGUCUCCUCUGUAAAGAAUGGAUUUUGAGAAAUGUCUAAUGCUAUUUCUGAACUAAAGCUAGUCAGUAAAAAAAACUUGUUUGACUUUUAUUUAUUUUCUGAAUACAUGGAAACCAAAUCCAAGAACAAACUUUCCUUGGCAUCCUUGGCAUUUGUGGGAAAUAAAAACCUCACUGGAAUGAAUAACUGAAACCUACCCACCUCAAGUGUUGGUUGUGAGAUCAAAAAAAUAUGUGAAAGUGCUUGUCAGUAGUAAACUCAUAAGCAGGUAUUACUGGUAUUAUUAUUAUUUUCCAUUUUUUCAUCAGUUUUCACCAUUUAUAUCAUUCUCUUUCAAAAGGAAAUUGAGACCUUUAUAAGCGUGUCUACUCAGAAGGACUUCUUCGGGGGGUCUAUAGCCUGACUGCUAAUUCAGAAAACCGGUGUGUCCUUUUUCUCCUACAAACAUCUGCAUAACUGUACAUUAGUGAAACCUGAAGAUUAUCCCUAUUUGGGGUGUAAAAAUAUCCAGGAUAUUCUUAAUUAUAGAUGAUCUAAUAAGAUAAAGAUACAAAUAUAUUUUAACGAAAUUUUCAUUUGGAUAACUUUCUGUUGUUCCUGUAGUAAUAUUUCACCUUAAGAGACAGCUUAAUUUGUUCUAGUACAGACUUAUUUCUGGGUUUAAAAUUAUUUCAAAAUGUUAACUUUUACUUUAGCUAUGUUACAUAUUUACUGGAACAACAUAGGUACAAUUUGGGUUUUUGUUUUCUUGUUUUUUGUUAAUAAGCUAAGAUUGUUUUCCACCUUUCUAUUUAGCUCAUUUAGAUAUGUUGAAGAAAAAUCAGGUUAUGCAUUUUUGGUGGGAAGUGAAGUGAUGUGUCUUUCUCAGCAUCAGGUCCAAAGGUCCAUGGUGCUGGUUUGUCCCAAUAUUCAUGAUAUUCAUUUUGAUUACUAGGGUAAGGAGGUUCCACUAGGUUUUUCCAAUAUAAAGUUGUUAUUUUCCUUUGUAGUUAAUAAAUACAAGGACUGCAAAUGUCUUGUUCUUCAUCAAACUCUCACCUACUAAUUUUAGUAUCUAUUGAUUUCUUGAUUCUGUUUCCUUCCCUUUCCUCCCUUCCUUCUUUCUUUCCUUUAUCUUUCUCUCUCCCCACUACCCACUUUUGUUGGCAUAAGAAAGACCUUUCUUUUCUUCCCCAUUUAUUAAUUGAUUCACUGGUUUAUUUAUAUCAGUAUGGCCUCAUAGAUACUUUUAUUAUUCAAUGGGAUAUAGUCUAUUGUUUUUUGGGGUUUUUUUAAAUUUAUUUAUUUAUUUUUGGCUGUGUUGGGUCUUCGUUUCUGUGCGAGGGCUUUCUCUAGUUGCAGCGAGCGGUGGCCACUCUUCAUCGCAGUGCGCGGGCCUCUCACUGUCGCGGCCUCUCUUGUUGCGGAGCACAGGCUCCAGACGCGCAGGCUCAGUAGCUGUGGCUCACGGGCUCCGUCGCUCCGCGGCAUGUGGCAUCUUCCCAGACCAGGGCUCGAACCCGUGUCCCCUGCAAUGGCAGGCAGAUUCUCAACCACUGCACCACCAGGGAAGCCCUAAUCUAUUGUUUAGUUAUAAAUAACUAUAACUGUAAUCUGUCAAUAGUUAUUUUGACAUUCAGACUCUUCCAGGUUUGGCUAGCAUGAGCCCCUUCAUGCUAACUCCUGUGAAAUUUGACAUGACCCAGUCACUCCUUGAGCACUUGCUUCCCUAACUGCCUCAAUCAGAUGUUCCAGGCUCCCCCUGUACUUUUCCUGUCCCAGCCCUGCAAUCUGUCAUUUCUCCAAGGGGUCCUAGUUCCUUUUAGUGGAAAACACAUAUGUGUUUGUAUAUCUCUGUCUAUUUAUAUAUCUAUUAAAACAUAGGCACAGAUAUUUAUUUUUCUCAAUGCUAAAAACCAUGUUUUCAAACUGAUAACAUGCACUUCCAAUCAAAAACUACAAGCUGUAAUGCAUGCUUCUCACCUUCCAUAUUUGUAGCUCAUUCCUUCCAUUAUUCUCAAUGUCUUUAUUCAUUUCUUCAAGUCUAGAGUACAGAAAAGUUUGGGGACUGCUAACCCGUGCCACCAUGAAAAGCAAACCAGCAAACUAGAGUUAAUUAAUUAUUUACAGUUCUUUUGUUUUGUUUUAGAAAAAAAAAAAGUGUACAUCGUUGCAUGUUCCCAAUGUUGGGGGUAAAGCAACAACUAUGUCAUCAUUAAAUAUGAUGUUACCUUCGGGAUUUUUAUAGAUGCCUUUAUCAGGUUGAGGAGGUUUCCCUCUACUACUGGUUUGCUGAGAGUUCUUAUAUAUAUGGAUGCUGAAUUUUGUAAGAUAUUCUUUCUGCACCUCUUGAGAUGAUUCAAUUUCUCCUUUAUUCUGUUAAUAUGACGUAUUACAUUGAUUGAUAAUUGAACGCUAAAAUUUACAUUUCUAAGAUAAUCCUCAUUUGGUCAAAAU